AUGAAGUAUCGCGGAGCCGCUUCGGCGGCGCCCGGCUCAACCACCCUUGUGCACUGUAACGUACCCUGGCGGUUAGACGGUUAGUCUGGCCGCCGAAGGGCCUCUUUAACCGGAGGUCCGCCAACCAACUCUUAAAUCGAGGCUGAAAUUACAUUCUUAUAAUGCUAAGA
rnacentral:misc_RNA from 1 species